rnacentral:rRNA from 1 species
CCUACGGGGUGCAGCAGUGGGGAAUAUUGGACAAUGGGCGAAAGCCUGAUCCAGCCAUGCCGCGUGUGUGAAGAAGGCCUUCGGGUUGUAAAGCACUUUCAGUGGGGAAGAAAGCCUUGGGGCUAAUACCCUCGAGGAAGGACAUCACCCACAGAAGAAGCACCGGCUAACUCCGUGCCAGCAGCCGCGGUAAUACGGAGGGUGCGGGCGUUAAUCGGAAUUACUGGGCGUAAAGCGCGCGUAGGCGGUCUGAUAAGCCGGUUGUGAAAGCCCCGGGCUCAACCUGGGAACGGCAUCCGGAACUGUCAGGCUAGAGUGCAGGAGAGGAAGGUAGAAUUCCCGGUGUAGCGGUGAAAUGCGUAGAGAUCGGGAGGAAUACCAGUGGCGAAGGCGGCCUUCUGGACUGACACUGACGCUGAGGUGCGAAAGCGUGGGUAGCAAACAGGAUUAGAUACCCCUGUAGUC